rnacentral:rRNA from 1 species
AACGAACGCUGGCGGCGUGCUUAACACAUGCAAGUCGAACGGUGAACGAGGGAGCUUGCUCCCUCCGGAUCAGUGGCGAACGGGUGAGUAACACGUGAGCAAUCUGCCCUGGACUCUGGGAUAAGCGUUGGAAACGACGUCUAAUACCGGAUACGAGGCGUGGGGGCAUCCCCAACGCCUGGAAAGAACUUCGGUCCAGGAUGAGCUCGCGGCCUAUCAGCUAGUUGGUGAGGUAACGGCUCACCAAGGCGACGACGGGUAGCCGGCCUGAGAGGGUGACCGGCCACACUGGGACUGAGACACGGCCCAGACUCCUACGGGAGGCAGCAGUGGGGAAUAUUGCACAAUGGGCGCAAGCCUGAUGCAGCAACGCCGCGUGAGGGACGACGGCCUUCGGGUUGUAAACCUCUUUUAGCAGGGAAGAAGCGAAAGUGACGGUACCUGCAGAAAAAGCACCGGCUAACUACGUGCCAGCCGCCGCAGUAACAC